rnacentral:rRNA from 1 species
GAUGAACGCUGGCGGCGUGCCUAAUACAUGCAAGUCGAGCGAACGGACGAGAAGCUUGCUUUUCUGAUGUUAGCGGCGGACGGGUGGGUAACACGUGGAUAACCUACCUAUAAGACUGGGAUAACUUCGGGAAACCGGAGCUAAUACCGGAUAAUAUUUUGAACCGCAUGGUUCAUAAGUGAAAGACGGUCUUGCUGUCACUUAUAGAUGGAUCCGCGCUGCAUUAGCUAGUUGGUAAGGUAACGGCUUACCAAGGCAACGAUGCAUAGCCGACCUGAGAGGGUGAUCGGCCACACUGGAACUGAGACACGGUCCAGACUCCUACGGGAGGCAGCAGUAGGGAAUCUUCCGCAAUGGGCGAAAGCCUGACGGAGCAACGCCGCGUGAGUGAUGAAGGUCUUCGGAUCGUAAAACUCUGUUAUUAGGGAAGAACAUAUGUGUAAGUAACUGUGCACAUCUUGACGGUACCUAAUCAGAGAGCCACGGCUAACUACGUG